rnacentral:rRNA from 1 species
GAUGAACGCUGGCGGCGUGCCUAAUACAUGCAAGUCGAGCGAACAGACGAGGAGUUUGCUCCUCUGACGUUAGCGGCGGACGGGUGAGUAACACGUGGAUAACCUACAUAUAAGACUGGGAUAACGUCGGGAAACCGGAGCUAAUAUCGGAUCAUAUAUUGAACCGCAUGGUUCAAUAGAGAAAGACGGUUUUGCUGUGCCUUAUAGAUGGUUCCGGGCCGGAUUAGCUAGUUGGUACGGUAACGGCUUACCCAGGCGAGGAUGCGUAGCCGAACUGAGAGGGUGAUCGGGCACACUGGAACUGAGACACGGUCCAGACUCCUACGGGAGGCAGCAGUAGGGAAUCUUCGGCAAUGGGCGAAAGCCUGACGGAGCAACGCCGCGUGAGUGAUGAAGGUCUUCGGAUCGUAAAACUCUGUUAUUAGGGAAGAACAGAUGUGUAAGUAACUAUGCACGUCUUGACGGUACCUAAUGAAAAAGCCACGGCUAACUACGUG